rnacentral:rRNA from 1 species
UACGAAGGGGGCUAGCGUUGCUCGGAAUUACUGGGCGUAAAGCGCACGUAGGCGGCUUUCUAAGUCGGGGGUGAAAUCCUGGAGCUCAACUCCAGAACUGCCUUCGAUACUGGAGAGCUCGAGUCCGGGAGAGGUGAGUGGGAACUGCGAGUGUAGAGGUGAAAUUCGUAGAUAUUCGCAAGAACACCAGUGGCGAAGGCGGGCUCACUGGCCCGGUACUGGACGCUGAGGUGCGAAAGCGAUGGGGA